UAGACAAUGCAGUCUUUCCAAAGUCAAG
rnacentral:piRNA from 1 species